rnacentral:rRNA from 1 species
CAUGCAANUCGAACGAUCCCUUCGGGGAUAGUGGCAGACGGGUGAGUAACGCGUGGGAAUCUACCUUUUGGUACGGAAUAGCUCCGGGAAACUGGAAUUAAUACCGUAUGUGUCCUUCGGGAGAAAGAUUUAUCGCCAAGAGAUGAGCCCGCGUUUGAUUAGGUAGUUGGUGGGGUAAUGGCCUACCAAGCCGACGAUCAAUAGCUGGUCUGAGAGGAUGAUCAGCCACAUUGGGACUGAGACACGGCCCAAACUCCUACGGGAGGCAGCAGUGGGGAAUAUUGGACAAUGGGCGCAAGCCUGAUCCAGCCAUGCCGCGUGAGUGAUGAAGGCCCUAGGGUUGUAAAGCUCUUUCGCCGGUGAAGAUAAUGACUGUAGCCGGUAAAGAAGCCCCGGCUAACUUCGUGCCAGCAGCCGCGGUAAUACGAAGGGGGCUAGCGUUGUUCGGAAUUACUGGGCGUAAAGCGCACGUAGGCGGACAUUUAAGUCAGGGGUGAAAUCCCGGAGCUCAACUCCGGAACUGCCUUUGAUACUGGGUGUCUCGAGUAUGGAAGAGGUAAGUGGAAUUGCGAGUGUGUAGAGGUGAAAUUCGUAGAUAUUCGCANGAACACCAGUGGCGAAGGNGGCUUACUGGUCCAUUACUGACGCUGAGGUGCGAAAGCGUGGGGAGCAAACNGGAUUAGAUACCCUGGUAGUCCACNCCGUAAACGAUGAUAGCUAGCCGUCGGUAUGCAUGCAUAUCGGUGGCGCAGUUAACGCAUUAAGCUAUCCGCCUGGG